GACGAACGCUGGCGGCGUGCUUAACACAUGCAAGUCGAACGAUGAACCCGGGGCUUGCUCCGGUGGAUUAGUGGCGAACGGGUGAGUAACACGUGAGUAACCUGCCCUUGACUCUGGGAUAACUGCGGGAAACUGUAGCUAAUACCGGAUACGACCCUCGGCGGCAUCGCCAGGGGGUGGAAAGAAUUUCGGUCAAGGAUGGACUAGCGGCCUAUCAGCUAGUUGGUGAGGUAACGGCUCACCAAGGCGACGACGGGUAGCCGGCCUGAGAGGGUGACCGGCCACACUGGGACUGAGACACGGCCCAGACUCCUACGGGAGGCAGCAGUGGGGAAUAUUGCACAAUGGGCGCAAGCCUGAUGCAGCAACGCCGCGUGAGGGAUGACGGCCUUCGGGUUGUAAACCUCUUUUAGUAGGGAAGAAGCGAAAGUGACGGUACCUGCAGAAAAAGCACCGGCUAACUACGUGCCAGCAGCCGCCGUAA
rnacentral:rRNA from 1 species